CCUACGGGAGGCAGCAGUGGGGAAUAUUGCACAAUGGGGGAAACCCUGAUGCAGCGACGCCGCGUGAGUGAGGAAGUAUUUCGGUAUGUAAAGCUCUAGCAGCAGGGAAGAAAAUGACGGUACCUGACUAAGAAGCCCCGGCUAACGACGGGCCAGCAGCCGCGGUAAUACGUAGGGGGCAAGCGUUCUCCGGAUUUACUGGGUGGAAAGGGAGCGUAGUCGGCUAAUCAAGUCAGAAGUGAAAACCAAGGGCUCAACCUUGGGACUGCUUUUGAAACUGAGUAGCUAGAGUGCAGGAGAGGUAAUCGGCCUUCCUUUUGUAGCGGUGAAAUGCGUAGAUAUUAGGCGGCACCCCAGUGGCGCAGGCGGCUUACUGGACUGUAACUGACGUUGCGGCUCGAACGCGUGGGGAGCAAACCGGAUUAGAUACCCCUGUAGUC
rnacentral:rRNA from 1 species